rnacentral:lncRNA from 1 species
CUCUACUAAAAAAUACAAAAAAAAAAAUUAGCUGGGCGUGGUGGCAGGCGCCUGUGGUCCCAGCUACUCAGGAGGCUGAGGCAGGAGAAUGGCCUGAACCCGAGAGGCGGAGUUUGCAGUGAGCUGAGAUCACGCCACUGCACUCCAGCCUGGGCGAAAGAGUGAAACUCCGUCUCAAAAAAUAAAAAGAAAAGAAAAGAAAAGAAAAGAAAAUUAGGCCGGUGUGGUGGCACACACCUGUAGUCCCAGCUGCUCGGGAGGCUGAGGCAAGAGAAUCGCUUGAACCCGGGAGGCGAGGGUUGCAGUGAGCCGAGAUCGCGCCACUGCAAGACUCCGUCUCAGAAAAACAAAGUCGCACAGGAGAGUCACGUCCACCCCCUGGGCCACCGGACAGUCGCCACAGACCAGGCAGCUGAAUCCCCGCUCUACAGACAACCCCAUCAAGGCUGGGGCAGUGAGACGCUCUGAAGGCCACAGGCCCCCAGGAUCCCACCCCGUCCGUCUCUCCCUCCCUGCUGUCCCUCUGUGAGCCACACCCUGCGGCUGUCAGCGGCAGUGAUGGGGGCUGCAGGGGCUGGGGACAGAGGGGGAUGAGUUUCCAGCCAGGCGGCCUGGGAGGGUAGCUUUAAUCCCCACCUCGGUUUUGUCUUAGAAGCAGUUGCAUGGCUGUGCUCCAGGCCGUCCAGGGUUCAGGCUGAGCCACCGUCUAGGUCUAGACGUCAGUGUCCAUCAGGACCUGGCGUGCCCUGCAAGCAGACAUGUGCUCCUUCGACCUCCGUCAACCCUGGAGAUGAAGCAGGGAAGGGGCCCUGGCUGGAGGCUUGGACAUCCAUCCGGAGGGGCGGAGUGGCCUCGAGGCGGUGUGUGAGUCCCCGGGGAAGAUGCAGGGGACGCUGGGUGGCCGGUGGCACGAGUGAGGCUCGGGGUCCCGCAGCCCCCCGUGGUGUGGGUGCCUGAGUUGGGGGGUCCUCGAGGAGGACAAGGGAGGGAACUGAAGGGGGCCAGGACACCCGGUAGCUUGGCUGCCGGGGGCUCUGUGAUAUGCUAAGUCCCUCCUGCUCACCACUAAACCCAAGAGGAAAAGGAAUUCCUGGCAGAGUCCAAUUUAAAGUCAACAAACAAACAAUGUGGGAAGGAGAGAAGGAAUCCCAGGAAUGUGGGCGAGGUCCUCCUCCCGCCGGGGCCACCCUGGACCCGGCGAGAAAUCGAAGGUCCCCCAAGGACCCACGUCCAGGAGCCAACAGCCUCUCUGUGCAAACCAGACAACCCUGCAGGAACUGUGCUUGAAGAAACCGUGGAAACUGCCCCCAACCCUCCCGUCUCUAUUUCUUUCUCUGUUUUAUUAUCUCAUUCUUGGCUGUGAGGUAAACAGGAGAAAAUGAGAAGGUGGUUCUGGAGGACCCGACCGAAUUUGCUUUCGUGACAGGGUCAAGCGCCCUUUCCUCGCCGGCCGCAGCCCUCACCAAAGGGGAUUUGGGGGCCUCCGGACAGGGGUCCUGAAGGUUUUGAAUUGUUCAAUCUCUGGGGGUACAGGAACCCCUGCAGGAGGUUUCAAAGGCAAGAGUUUCGCAGAGAGAAAAAAACCAUGAACUUUGCAGGUUGGUGGCGGAAUCUGGUGAUUUAAGAAAACGUGUUUAAGCCUCGGCCGGGCCGCGCCUGGGCUGUCUGCGGUGCUCUUCCGGAAUUCUCUACAAUAUCUGGAAGUGACCAAGAAAAUUCCAGAACCCGGAGGCUGCGCCGUGGAGAUAAACAUGGGCACCUGGGAAGGAACUGCUGGACCAGCAGAAUGAGGGGCCAACGCCAGGGGCAGCACUGCCCGGCCACAGAGGACUGUGGCCCCACAGAUGACACCCUCAGCUACCAGCUCCUGCAUCUGGAAGAUGACCAGGAGGAGGAAGGACGGUCUGCAAGUGUUCAAAGUGAUGUUUCCAGGCCGGGCGCGCUUGUAAUACCAGCAUUUGGGAGGCUGAGGCAGGCGGAUCACCUGAGGUCGGGAGUUCGAGACCAGCCUGACCAACGUGGAGAAACCCCGUCUCUACUAAAAAUACAAAAUUAGCCAGGCGUGGUGGCGCAGCUACUCGGGAGGCUGAGGCAGGAGAAUCGCUUGAACCCGGGAGGCGGAGGUUGCGGUGAGCUGAGAUUGUGCCAUUGCACUCCAGCCUGGGCAACAAGAGUGAAACUCCGUCUGAAAAAAAAAAAACCUCUAUAACAUCCAAAAUACUAACCACUUGUUACCUCUAGAUUGUUUGGGGAUGUUAGAUUUCUCCUUUGUUGCCAGCUCUUUUAUUUUUAUUUAUUUAUUUAUUAUUAUUAUUAUUAUUAUUAUUAUUAUUAUUAUUUUGAGAUGGAGUCUUGUUCUGUUGCCCAGGAUGGAGUGCAGUGGUGUGAUCUCGGCUCACUGCAACCUCCGCCUCCUGGGUUUGAGCAAUUCUCCUGCCUCAGCCUCCCGAGUAGCUGGGACUACACGCGUGUGCCACCACGCCAGGCUAAUUUUUGUAUUUUUAGUAGAGACGGGGUUUUGCCAUGUUGGCCAGGAUGGUCAGGAACUCCCCAACUCUUAUUUUUAAAUGUUGGGCCACACAAGUCUGGGAAAUGUUAGUUUUCAAACACAUCAGGGAAUAAAUGGAUACAAAAGUCUUGAGGACCACUUAAGAAAUGAACAAUAGCAGAUGUGUAACAGUUAUACUACGCUGCUACCUUGUAAAACAUUUUAGAAACAUCUGUUUCCAGCCGGGCCUGGUGGCUCACGCCUGUGAUACCAGCACUUUGGGAGGCUGAGGUGGGCAGAUCAUGAGGUCAGGAGUUCGAGACCAGCCUGGCCAACCUAGUGAACCCUCAUCUCUACUAAAACUACAAAAAAUUAGCCAGGUGUGGUGGCGGGCGCCUGUAAUCCCAGCUACUUGGGAGGCUGAGGCAGGAGAAUCGCUUGAACCUGGGAGGCGGAGGUUGCAGUGAGCCAAGAUUGCACCACUGCUCUCCAGCCUGGCAACAAAGGAAGACUCCAUCUCAAAAAAAAAAAAGAAUAAAAAGAAUACAAAAAGAAAAAAAAAACAUCUGUAUCAUCCUUGUAGAUUCUGGGGUUUGGAAACAGGCUUUGAAAAAAGUCCUGAAACAGGCCGGGCGCCGUGGCUCACACCUGUAAUCCCAGCACUUCUGGAGGCCGAGGCGGGCGGAUCAUGAGGUCAGGAGAUCGAGACCAUCCUG